CAAUAGGAAGCACGGACACGACUCUGAAUGCCGCUUUCACGUGUGGGAUAUCUUUCCGAUACGGAUACCGCUCAGAUAUGCGGUGUACACAGUGUCAGACACAUUUUUGUUGUGUCCUAUCGUUCUUUACUUGGGCACGUUUCAAACGCGUUGGCAUGUAACGGCGGACAUGGCCCAACCUACAUUUUUAAUGGCUGUCAUUACGGUUUUGGUUUGGUGGUGGUUUGGUUGGUGACGGUGAUGAAGCGGUUGCGAGGUUAAUUGGAGGCGUCUCGUUUAGGGUGUUGCAACAAGGGGAAAGAAGGAGAUGGGCGUU
rnacentral:lncRNA from 1 species